rnacentral:rRNA from 1 species
UACGGAGGGUGCGAGCGUUGUCCGGAAUCAUUGGGCGUAAAGGGCGCGUAGGUGGCCUGGUCAGCGUGCGGUGAAAGCUCGGGGCUCAACCCCGAGUCGGCCGUGCGAACUGCUGGGCUGGAGCACUGUAGAGGCAGGCGGAAUUCCGGGUGUAGCGGUGGAAUGCGUAGAGAUCCGGAAGAACACCGGUGGCGAAGGCGGCCUGCUGGGCAGUUGCUGACACUGAGGCGCGACAGCGUGGGGAGCAAACAGGAUUGAGAAACCCCGGUAG